rnacentral:rRNA from 1 species
AUUGAACGCUGGCGGCAUGCCUUACACAUGCAAGUCGAACGGCAGCGCGGACUUCGGUCUGGCGGCGAGUGGCGAACGGGUGAGUAAUACAUCGGAACGUACCCUGUUGUGGGGGAUAACUAGUCGAAAGAUUAGCUGAUACCGCAUACGUCCUGAGGGUGAAAGUGGGGGACCGGAGACGGCCUCAUGCAGCAGGAGCGGCCGAUGUCUGAUUAGCUAGUUGGUGGGGUAAAGGCCCACCAAGGCGACGAUCAGUAGCUGGUCUGAGAGGACGAUCAGCCACACUGGAACUGAGACACGGCCCAGACUCCUACGGGAGGCAGCAGUGGGGAAUUUUGGACAAUGGGCGCAACCCUGAUCCAGCAAUGCCGCGUGUGUGAAGAAGGCCUUCGGGUUGUAAAGCACUUUUGGCCGGGAAGAAAGGGAGUUGGUUAAUACCUGGCGUGGAUGACGGUACCGGAAGAAUAAGCACCGGCUAACUACGUG